GGUGUAGCUCAGUGGUAGAGCAUUUGCUUAGAAUGCAUAAGACCCUAGGUUCCAUCUCCAGCACC
rnacentral:tRNA from 1 species